rnacentral:rRNA from 1 species
UACGGAGGGGGCUAGCGUUGUUCGGAAUUACUGGGCGUAAAGCGCACGUAGGCGGCUUUGCAAGUUAGAGGUGAAAGCCCGGGGCUCAACUCCGGAAUUGCCUUUAAAACUGGAUCGCUAGAAUUGUGGAGAGGUAAGUGGAAUUCCGAGUGUAGAGGUGAAAUUCGUAGAUAUUCGGAAGAACACCAGUGGCGAAGGCGACUUACUGGACACAUAUUGACGCUGAGGUGCGAAAGCGUGGGGAGCAAACAGG